GCUUAGCGCAUCGCGCUCAUCCAUCUAUCCGAAACGACGAACGACGCUCAAACAAUUUAUCGACGCGUCUAAUUUUAGCGACACACCAAGCGCGUCCCCGAUUGAGUUAUGGUGUGCGCUAUGCAUCGCAAUGCAACCGCACACACGCCCGAAGAUGGAGAAUGCACGUGUGAAGUGGUCCUCCAUCAUCUGCGCCAUCCACGUCCGCACCCUUUACGAGUAGGCGAAGUAAAUUAACAUCGCAUAAACAAUCCAGGAUGGGACAUCAUGUCCAAACUGAAAGCCAUUUCAAUUUAUUUACGGCUACGUAAUUGCUUUGGAAUUUCCUGCGAGGCGAAAAUAACACACAUAACCUUGUGUGCAACCAAGGUGUAAGAAAAACACAACAUAGUAAAAGACAAAAAAAGCCGUCCUCGUCUCUGCACGAAUGAUGGAUGUCGCUAAUGAGCUGUUUACCCGCCGCCACCGCCCCAACACAAAUUUCAGCUGUAAAGCUAUUAUGACUACACAUGUCACAACGAUUUCACGUCUGGAUGGCAAUAAACCCGAAGCGCCGAAGAAAGAAGAAAAGAAAGAAGCUGCAACAACGUUCAAUUCCAAGAGACUAUGAAAAAUGUCCAUCAGGGUUUAAAUCGAGCAGAAUGUGGGCCAUUGAAAACCUAAAUUGUUGUUGCACCGUGUUCUAAGCACGACAAAACUGUUUUCGAAGUUUUUGAAAACACGAUGUGUGGUAAAGUAAAACUUCGACGAGAAUUGUUUAGGUUUCGAUCCGUUUUAGUGUUUUAUUGAUGCUCAAUAAGUGUGUCAAAGUUUGCAUGUGGCCCACAAAUGGUUUACUUUGUAAAUAUUCUUUAUAGUAUAAAUAUAAACGAAUCGCUUCGAAAUUACAAUAUCA